rnacentral:rRNA from 1 species
CGUGAGUGAUGAAGGCUUUCGGGUCGUAAAGCUCUGUCAAGUGGGAAGAACCUGCUUUCUGUUAAUAUCAGAUAGCACUGACGGUACCACUGAAGGAAGCACCGGCUAACUCCGUGCCAGCAGCCGCGGUAAUACGGGGGGUGCAAGCGUUAUUCGGAAUUAUUGGGCGUAAAGGGCGCGUAGGCGGUUUUGUAAGUCAGAUGUGAGAGCUCUCGGCUUAACCGGGAAAGUGCAUUUGAAACUACAAGACUUGAGUAUGGGAGAGGGAAGUGGAAUUCCUGGUGUAGAGGUGAAAUUCGUAGAUAUCAGGAGGAACAUCGGUGGCGAAGGCGACUUCCUGGACCAAUACUGACGCUGAGGCGCGAAGGCGUGGGGAGCAAACAGGAUUAGAUACCCUGGUAGUCCACGCAGUAAACGUUGAUCACUAGGUGUAGCGGGUAUUGACCCCUGCUGUGCCGCAGUUAACGCAUUAA